UCAUAAUACAACUAUGUUUGGUCCAGUACCUCAUCAAAGCACUUUGAUAAGUAAUUGUAUAUAAGCGUACAGUAUGUGAAUAAAGCUUCCUUUGGAAGAUGUUACCAACUGGCACACGAGUCACGAAGAAGAGAAAACCAAAUUUAACAUUUAAGUGACAUGUUGCCUAUAGAUGUAUAUGGACGAGGAAAAAAAUAAAAAAAGAGAAGAAAGAAAAAAAAGACGGUGAGUUUAGGAAGGCCGGAAGAAUAGAGAAAAUAGAAAGGGAGAGAAGAAAGAGAAGAAAAGAAAAAGGAAGGGUUGCCGCAAAAGCAGUAGGCAAGGACUAAAGAGUAUAGGUACUUAUCCCCAAAAUAAGCUAACUGAGCUAAAUAAGAGCAUAAUUGAAGCAAUCUUGAGAAAAAUCAAAGAAAGGAGCAAAGUGGGAGCAAAAGGAAGCAAGUGAUGGAAAUUCAGCAAGUUCGAUCGAUCUCAGGAAAUCUUCGAUCGAUCGAAAGUUCAUCGAUCUAGACAUUUCAAGAUGGAUCCAAGCUCUUUUGUUCUAUCCAAAGAUCCCACAAAGUUCGAUCGAUCCAACUUUCUUCCGAUUGAUCGAAAAGAUUCCAUCUUAUCCAGUUGUACCAACCUACCUACCACUUUUGUCUCGUUUCCCAAAAUAUCUCAGAUUUGUCUUUAUCCAAAAAGGCGCCGCCAUAGAGGAUCGAUCUAGCUUAAGUUCGAUAGAUAUCAGCCAUGUUCGAUCAAUCUCACCACAAGUUCGAUCGAUCGAACUUCCCCAAGUGCGAGAAAAUUCAAUUUUCAGCUCAUUAAAAGUUGUCUCAUAUCCAAUCAUUGGGAGGAAUAUUAGUGUACGAGCCCAGGUCAUUAGGGUGACAUUUUUAACCUACCUAUAUAAGGAAUAUGAGCCACUUUUGAGAUAGAGAGACACAUACAUACACUAAAAACACAAUUUCCAUAUCAUAUUCUUAGUGAGGAAGAAAAGAAGGGAGGAGGUUAGAGACACAAGCUUGGAGUUCUUCCAUCAACCAAGAAGAUGAGCAAUCUCUACCAUGGAGUUAGCCCUUGAGGGUUGGAGGACACCAUCCACGAGUGGCUAGACAUCCUCUUGGGGCUAAAGUUAGCCCUAAGCAUGCUUUUUACAUCUUGAUUUAUGUAUUUUUGAGAGAAUUUAUAUUGUGAUACAUGUUUUAACAUAUUUAUAUACAUAGAUCUUGUUUAUUCAA